GUUCUGUCUUCUUGGGCCUGGGCAAUGAUCUCAUACCAUGAUGAUGAUCUCAGAAGACAGGUAGGCAGACAGACAG
ensembl:miRNA